rnacentral:rRNA from 1 species
GUUAGCAAUGUGCAGCUCUUCGACGUGAUGCCAUUUAUUUUGGAACAUACAAAUUGGUAGUGCUGUUCUUCUUCAACACGGCAACUCUGCUCACCGCUCCUCAUCCACAGUGCUUCCUCUGCCGCACACAUAAAGCUAGUAGGUGAUCUAACUGCAGUGCAGUAACCCUACAUAUAGGCAUCCAGCAUCUAGUGCCCUCAACUAUUCCUUGUUUAUUCCACUAACCAUCUAAACCAGUAGUCAUGCAUGCACUUUGUACCAUUCCUCCACUCACCUUGCCUUUAUGUAUCCUCCCUGCCUGCUCCAGUUAACAAUUUUUAGCAUUAACUUUAGUAUUAGAAUUAGCAUUGCUCUCUCACAAAUAAAGCUAGUGACAUGACCCCUGAUAAUGCUCUUUCACAUCACCACAUGCACAGGCCAUGCUUGUAUAUAUUGUGCAUACUAUAGUACAGAUAGGAUCGACGCUGCUGCAUGGAUAGUUAGUGCCCACCACCUAAGACCAGUGACAGGACACCUCUCUGGUUUGUGCAGAAUCAAUGGGGUGGGUGGAGCUACUGAAGCCAGUGGCGGCCAUGAUCGCCUUCGACAUGCUCUUCGCUGUGAUGACCGUGCUGGUGAAGAAGGCGCUUGAUGAUGGCCUGAACCCUGUCGUUCUUAUCGCUCUUCGGCAGCUUGUCGGCGCAGCUUUCCUGGCGCCGAUUGCCUACUUCAAAGAAAGGAAUGCAAGACCAAGAUUCACAAAGGAGAUCUUUGCCUACUUGUUCAUGAGUGCGCUACUUGGGGCACUAUUCGCUCAGUAUCUGUUCUUCUUGGGCUUGAGCUACACCACUGCAACACUGGCUGCAACUGUCUCCAAUAUGACCCCAAUCUUCACCUUCCUGAUCGCCGUCCCUCUUCGGUCGGAAACAGUAGAUGUGAGGAGCAAGGCGGGUCUGGCGAAGAUCGCAGGAACACUAGCGUCUGUCAGUGGUGCGAUACUGCUGAGCCUGUACAAGGGUGCUGCCCUGACUCACACAGCAUCUUCGACCCAAGAACACGGUGAAAAUAGCACAACGGGCAACAGUGGCAGCAAGGGAAGAUGGUUGCUGGGCUCGGCGUUGCUGCUGCUGAACUGCAUCACGUUCUCAUUAUGGAUGCUGCUGCAAGGGAAGCUCACCAAGAAGUACCCUGCAGUCAUCUCCAGCACUGCAUUCAUGGCCUUGAUCAGCUCACUGCAAGCAGGGGCACUGGCAGUCACCACCCAAAGGCACCUCUCAGUUUGGCUGCUCCGAGGAAGUAUACAGAUUGCAACCGUUCUUUUCGCGGGAGUGGGAGUAUCGGGGAUAGGAUAUGUGCUGAUGACCUGGUGCAUCGAGAAGAGAGGGCCGGUGUUCACUGCAGGCUUCUUGCCUCUCAUUCAGAUCAUUGCUGGAGUCCUUGAUCUCCUCGUCCUUCAUGAACAGCUUUACGUGGGAAGUGUGGUAGGUGCUGCUCUUGUCAUUGGAGGCCUCUAUCUUCUGCUCUGGGGGAAGAGCAAGGAAGCAUCGUCAGCUGCCAUUUUAUCAGAGAAAGGACUGGAAGAAGAUAAGGAGACACAGGAAAAUUUGUGAAGUAUAGAAAGGGCAUUCCUAGUAGUUAGUGGGGAUGUCAAGAAUGACCAUAAAUGUUCCAACUAUCUGCCCUGGCCCAUGCUCUAUGUACGUUGCUACAACUUUGAAUAAGUCAGUGUCAUAUUUGUGCUCAUUGUGCACUUUACUUUCUGGUAGUGUGGUGCCUGGUGAGGUUGCCUUCCUUGCCUGGUAUUCAACAGUGUACCAAAUGAUUACAGAAAACACUCGUUGGUGGGUUUUACCGCCUUCAUUGGAAUGCAAAAACUAGCCUUAAUUUGUCAUUGAAAAUGACAGUUGCGCAGGAGUAAAAUCACACUAACAAGCACAAAGGUGAAUGGUCAGUAGUGGUGUUUGAGUUGAGCAAUUCACUGCAUCUUGUCAUAGUAUUGCUGACUCAAGGAUAGCAUUGCUGGUUGACAUAUACCAGGUCACCUUUUUUACUAAUGGCAAGUAUUAGGUUCUUUUGGAAGUUUUCUUUAUGUUAGGAAGUGAGGCGACUAGUCCACAUACAUAAAAAGGAGUUUCUGCAGUCUCAGUGCUUCCGUCCUUUCUCCACUUUCUUGGCAUCUUAUGUAAUUUUGGUCGGGGCACCAGAAAAGGUAAGGGGCUGAAUCAGGACAUAUAUUUUACUUUCACGUUUGCACUACCAAUUUGAUUCCUACUGUCUACUGAUAUGCCAUUUUAUAGAUUAUUAUUAAAAAUCUUCAGUAGUACGAGUAAGUUGUCACAAGAGAAGCAAAGGAAAUAAUUUAUUAUGUUGAUAGCAUAUUAGCAUUUACUUUUUUGCCCCCCUUGCAUGAAUGACGGCCGUCACUUUUGGUCAGUGAGUAGCAUUGCAGGGCUAUAUAUAAUCAUCAGACAGUUAAUGAGCGUAUCAGUCAUCUUGUAGCGGCAAUCUUACAAUGUGGGUGCAGGAGUGGAAGCCGGUGAUGGGAAUGCUGGCCUUCGACCUCAUCUCUGCUGUGAUGACGGCGCUGGUGAAGAAGGCUCUGGAGCAAGGGCUGAACCGCCUGGUCCUCGUCACCCUCCGGCAGCUGGUCGCCACCAUCUUCCUUGCUCCAAUAGCCUUUUUCAAAGAACGGAACACGAGGCCCAAGCUCACAUUGGAGAUCCUGGUGUACCUCUUCUUCAGCGCCGUGUUUGGCGCGGCGCUCUCGCAGUACACCUUCUUCUAUGGCCUGCAGUACACCACCGCCACCUUUGCUAUAACCUUCAUCAACCUCUCUCCUGUGCUCACCUUCCUCAUCGCCGUCGUGAUGAGGAUGGAGCCGCUGAAGUUGAAGAGCAUGGCGGGAGCUGCGAAGAUCACCGGAACGCUCACGUCGCUGGCCGGCUUGCUGCUGCUGAGUCUCUACAAGGGUGUGCCGCUGACGCACCAGGCCGCCACUUCUGCACCUAGCCCAGCUGCUCACCAUGCAGCACCCUCUGACAGCAGUGGCAACAGGAGCUGGAUGCUGGGCACCAUCGCGUUGCUGUUCAACUGCCUGUGCUUCUCCUUCUGGCUGCUACUGCAGACAAAGCUGACCAAGAAGUACCCGGUCAUCUACUCGAAUACUGCCAUCAUGUUCUUCAUCAGCACUCUGCAGGGCGGGGCGGUCACCUUGGCGAUGGAGAGACACGUGUCGCUCUGGAUGCUGACCAGCAAGCUGGAGAUCGUUACCGUCUUGUAUGCAGGGAUAGUCGGAUCUGGAGCCGGGUACCUGAUAAUGACGUGGUGCGUGGAGAAGAAGGGCCCGGUCUUCACCGCAGCCUUCAUCCCCAUGAUGCAGAUUAUGGUAGCCAUCAUUGAUUUCUUCUUCCUCCAUGAACAAAUCUACCUUGGAAGCGUGCUAGGAUCUGUACUGAUGAUACUGGGGCUCUAUCUUUUGCUGUGGGGAAAGAAGAGGGAUGAAGCAUCUGUAUCUUGUACCACUACCACUGACAAGCAAGUCGACGAACCAGCUGACGACAAGCCGUGAGACUGGAGAUUACACCCUUGGAUUUUAUUACUGCAAUGCAACACAUAUAUGUAGUUUUUCUUCCCAUUUUACUUAACUGCUGGAUGCAGCUACCUAUAUAUAUGUUAUAUAUAAGGUUGUUCCUAGCUGGUACUGUUGACAUAUGUCCAAGCUACUGAAAUAGUGGGAUUUAGUAAAUGAGCAGAGAUCUCAUUUAGCAUACAGCUGCCAAUGCUCUUUGGUAGCUGCAUAUGGGAGAAUUAUAUGCGAUCACGGGUCGAAU